AAGACGGAGGGUGCGAGCGUUGUUCGGAAUCACUGGGCGUAAAGGGCGCGUAGGCGGCUGCGCGUGUCGGGUGUGAAAGCCCGGGGCUCAACCCCGGAACGGCACCCGGGACUGCGUGGCUGGGGACCGGGAGAGGAGGGUGGAAUACCCAGUGUAGAGGUGAAAUUCGUAGAUAUUGGGUGGAACACCGGUGGCGAAAGCGGCUCUCUGGUCCGGUUCUGACGCUGAGGCGCGAAAGCGUGGGGAGCAAACAGGAUUAGAUACCCUGGUAGUCCACGCCCUAAACGAUGCAGGCCAGAUGUCGGGGGACUUGUCCCUCGGUGUCGCAGCCAACGUGGUAAGCCUGCCGCCUGGGGAGUACGGCCGCAAGGUU
rnacentral:rRNA from 1 species